rnacentral:rRNA from 1 species
GACGAACGCUGGCGGCAUGCCUAAUACAUGCAAGUCGAACGCUGAAGCACCCUGCUUGCAGAGUGCGGAUGAGUGGCGAACGGGUGAGUAACACGUGGGGAAUCUGCCUAUAAGUGGGGGAUAACAUUCGGAAACGGAUGCUAAUACCGCAUAUAUUCUUGGACCGCCUGGUCCUUGAAAGAAAGACGGCUUUGCUGUCGCUUAUAGAUGAUCCCGCGGCGUAUUAGUUAGUUGGUGGGGUAAAGGCCUACCAAGACAAUGAUACGUAGCCGACCUGAGAGGGUGAUCGGCCACACGGGGACUGAGACACGGCCCAGAGUCCUACGGGAGGCAGCAGUAGGGAAUCUUCCACAAUGGGCGAAAGCCUGAUGGAGCAAUGCCGCGUGAAUGAAGAAGGUCUUCGGAUCGUAAAGUUCUGUUAUUAGAGAAGAACAAGUCAAGGAAUAACUGUCUUGACUUUGACGGUACCUAACCAGAAAGUCACGGCUAACUACGUG